rnacentral:rRNA from 1 species
GUGAGGAAUAUUGCGCAAUGGAGGCAACUCUGACGCAGCCAUGCCGCGUGCAGGAAGAAGGCGCUACGCGUUGUAAACUGCUUUUAACCGGGAAGAAACCCCAGGACGUGUCCUGGGUUGACGGUACCGGAGGAAUAAGCACCGGCUAACUGCGUGCCAGCGGCCGCGGUCAUACGAAGGGUGCAAGCGUUAUCCGGAUUCAUUGGGCUUAUAGGGUGAGUAGGCGGAGCGUUAAGUCAGUGGUGAAAUCCUGCAGCUUAGCUGUAGGCUUGCAGUGGAUACUGGGGCACUUGAGUGAGCUUGAAGAGGGCGGAAUGUGCCGUGUAGCGGUGAAAUGCUUAGAUAUGGCACAGAACACCAAUUGCGAAGGCAGCUCACUAAGGCGAUACUGACACUGAGGCACGAAAGCGUGGGGAUCGAACAGGAUUAGAUACCCUGGUAGUCC